GAUUGUAAGGACAUGCUGGCUGUGACACCUACCACUCCAUGGAUCUCCAGGGUGGAUUUGCUGAUCUGCUUGGCUAGGUAGGUGUCCCCUUCCUCCCUUAGCAUUCCAUUGUGUCCCUCUCAAAGCUCCAUGAUCUGUCAAAGAGGACCAUCCCUUGGCCAAGGUUGUACAAGUAGCUCUGCUGCCCUGCUAGAAUCUCCAGACAAGAUCUCAAGGUCCUUCUGUAGGAGAAUAGCAAAUACGGCCUGAGAGCAUGAAAAGCAGCAGGACUCUAGCCUUUGUAGCCUCAAAAUCAGUACCAGGAGAAUGGGAUCACUGCUGUGACUCUGC
rnacentral:snRNA from 1 species